AAUAGAAGCUCCAUGAUCUUGCCCCUGAGGGAAGGACACGCCCAGGGGAUGGUGGCUCAAGAGCCUGAUAUAGGACAAGGGUGACUGCCAUUGGAGCAGGAAGUCUGCUGGGGAACAAGUUGCACCAGUGGAAGGCAACUGUUACCUCUCCUCCACCCUAACUUUGCAGCUACAUGAGAGGUGAAUACAACAAUUUAUCUAGUCUACCCCACAACUCCAGUUGAUGUCAGUGGGACUGCAGGUGAUCAGCACAAGUGAAAAACAGCAUCCAGGUGCAUCAGUUGACCCUCACUUUCCAUGAAAUGAAAAUGGCCAGUCAUCGUCUAUUCUGUUUAAAUUUAUUUUUAUAGGAGAUGUCUCAGGGACUUGCGGCUGACCCUUUCCCUUUUCUCCUGCCAAUGUCCUGCUCUGACUGGGAGAGAGGGCAGGGGAAAUGGGGGUCUGUAAGCCUUGACUAUUUUAGUCCAUUUUGUCUUGUGGGUUUUGAUUUUCUCCCUCCCGCCAUAACUGUGUUCUUCUUUGGGCAAAGCAAAGGAACACUUGCCAAAAUAUUAUAAUAAUUUCUCUGAGUGCUCUACUUUUCUUUCUUCAGGCUUUAUCAUUAUCUUUUUCCUUUUGAUUAUUUUGAUGGCAAGGAUACACUGAUAUUAGAGGAAUGCUGGAAUUAGAGGUGUCAGUACACACUUGGAUGUGCAAGCAGACAUACAUGGAAAGAAAAUGAGCUCCCCUACUUGAGUUGUAUUUCCUGAAGGACUUUAGUGUAACUCCUCUAUUCCUGCAUCUCUGCUUGAAAUUUAGAUUUAUACAGUAAGCUUUCUUACUUUUGAAAUACACUUGUACCACAUGGGCCUAAUUCGGAUCUCCUAUUGUGAAGAUCAGUUUUCUUCCUUUAUCAGCCUAAUUUCCUUGAUUAUGCGUGUCAGUAAAACUGCCUCUUAAAGAUGAAAAAGUGCCAAUUCUCUUUUUGAAAUGAUGACUUUCAAUGAUGAGAUGAAAAUGGAAAGUCUUUCUGACU